GUGACUGUCCUAACCAUUGGGAAAUGGAGAAGGAAGAAGUAGUGAGAUCAAGCUGGUUGCAAAAGUGGCUGGGAAUCACGACAAAGAUUUGCCAGGAGAGUGAGACAGAGGAGCGGAGAGCUCUUCUUGGAGCAGGGGAGUGAUGGGUGACUGGUUCAAUUGGCCCUUAUCUGCUCUUCUAAGAGCUGCCUGUGUUGGAUGCCAACUGAUGAAUAGGCCGCAUUGUAACAAUGGCCAGAUGCGGAGCUUCAGGGACCUUCCCUGAUGUUGAUCCUGGCGACCGAAUGAAAAUCGCAGCAUCGAUGAGACUCGGAAGCUUGCCGACCCAAACGGGAACACAACCGAAGUGCGAGGAAGGUGCCCCACGGGCGUCCCCCCCCUUGCUGCAGGGAUGUGAAAAUAUCCAGGAAAAUUUGCCCGUCUUAUCUUUAGGAUUGGCCCCUGUGAAAAGGACAAAAUGACUGCAGGUGUGGACACAUCAGAUGAGUGGCUAUGAGGCACCAAAAGAGCAGCAUGGCUGCUGCAGCUAUGCUGAAGGCAGAUGUCGAGUCCACUGUAAAGAGCCAGCCAGACUGUGCAGAGGUUAACCAGGUGGCAGCGCGGAUCAUUUGGUUACACACCAGACAUCCCUUCCGCCCUGCUUCCAAACCAUGCAAAAGAAGAAUGGACAGUGUGACAGCAUUCCUUGCCAGCCCUGUUUUGGAGGUGGUGGAGAGAAAUGCCGCUCGUGGGGUGUUUUUUGGAUUGGCUCUGCACAAAACGUUCAAGAACACCUGACGUGGUGCCGGCGGUACCUGGAGGCGUAAUGCAGGUGACCUCGGCCAAGCGGGUGGCUCCCACCCGUCCCUACCACAGCAGGAGAAAUGGCCAGACGAGGAAAGAUCUCCUGUCCUGGGACAGCACGGGUGGCCGGGCAGCCGCAAUGCCAACUACUCUCCAUGGAUUAUUUACUGGUACCCUCCCUGCUCAGUGGCUCCCCGGGUGGC